rnacentral:misc_RNA from 1 species
CUUGAAUUCCUCUGAAAUUUUUAUACAUUAGACAUUUAAGAUGCUCUCAACUCUGAGCACCAUUUGUAACCAACACCAACUGGAGGGUUUCAACUGUUUAAAGCAAAAGAUCUCUUAGAGUUCCACCAAGGCAGCUAAAGCACUACUAGGAAUAACCUUGUACUUUUAAGAAUAUACGUAUUGAAGUUUUCCCAAGUACAACACUACAGUCUCCGGAACAAGCAGCUUAAUACUUUGUAGCCAGCAGCCACACUGGAUCUUGAAAACCAUGUGCUUGUACUUAUAAUGACUUUUUAUUAAACUAUGUGCUCUUGGCCACUGGAUGUGUUUUAAUUCCUUUCAUCCAUGGUGGGUGUAGUCAACAGAGAAUCUCCCCAAAAACCACAGUAGAUUUAGGCCAUGCAACAGGUCACUCCAACUAAAUUAAUGUGGAUGAUUACCUUUCUAACACUCUUUCUGCCUCCAAGCUUUGGUCACCAACUGACCAUUUGGGCAUAAUUUUCGUCUUAACAGCACAUGCCCAACAAUCCUCAUUUGAACCAUCUGGUGUACUAUUUAUAUUAACAUUUGCUCCAACAUCUCUCUAGUUACCAAAUACUAAUUAAUCUAUCAUCUUCACAACAUGCAUAAUUAGUGUCAAACAUAUUCUCAUACUGUUUUUUGGUUGUCCUCUUACAUGAGUGGUUGUCCUCUUACAUGAUGAAGGAUAUGAUUCCUGAGGCUUACUGACCCCUCUCAAGGCAAAGCCUAUGGAACAAUAAAUAAACAACAAUCCAUUCUCAAUUUCUCAAUUGUUUAUCAAAUAGCACGCUCAAGUCCAACGUGAUGGAACUCUAUAUUACUUGACAAAAAUUCACCUUUGAUUGCAGAUAUUUUAUGCCAUGAUCGUUGAUGACUUUCUUUCCCAAAGAUUCAAGUAAUGAUUGCCACAAGUAAAUAAAACUGCAACCACUGGGAGUGUUACAGCUAACAUAAACAUAAAUAGAGAAAGGAAGAAAGCAAACAAUAGAAAAGGAAAAUAUCAACUACAAUGAAAAACACACAUUCACACACCCAAAAACAGG